GUGUUAGUUCGUUAUUCCAGACGACUGAAUUUCCGAACUAAUUUUUAAUCGAUGAAUAUUUUUAUUAUGUAACAAAUCCAUAAUAAGCAAUAAGUAGUAACUAAAAUAUUUAUUUUCAUUAGGUGUACCAAGCUAAAUCGGGUUUUCGUUAUUUUAUUUAUGUUUUUAAUUUUUCUUCUGCGCCUUAAACAUUUUUAAAUAUGUGGAGUAAUUUAGAAAAAAACAAUAUAGACAAAUCUGAAGAUGCAGUAGCUGGAAAACAAAUUCUAACAUACAAGCAGUUAAUAAAUAGCCAUACAGAAAGAUUGGAAAAAAUACAUAUUUUAAAAAAAAGCUCUAUUUAUUUUUAAGUCUCCUGUAAAUAUAAAGAUGAAGAUGUAUCUACUGAGGGAUUAAUACCAGUUAAAAUAAGCAAAUUUCUACAAAUUUUAUUAGAACUUUCAAAUUUUGUUAAGCAUUGUGAAUAUUUGCUGAGUGAAAUACAUUGUCAAUUUGUCAAUAUUUUCAAGUUCCAACUAAUAACUGCUGAUAUUCAUUUCCA